rnacentral:lncRNA from 1 species
CGAGGGGUGGUUUAACCGAUCCCCUUGGUUUGCUACCCUGGUGUCCACCUUGAUGGGACCCUUAAUCAUCCUCCUCCUAAUCCUCCUCUUUGGCCCCUGCAUUCUAAACAGAUUGAUGCAGUUCAUAAAGAACAGACUCUCAGUCAUUCAGACGCUUGUUCUCACCCAACAAUACCAGAGGGUAAGACAACAGGAAGAGAUUCCUUAGAAUUCGAUUUGAGUAAAGGAUUUUACUCAAGUCUAAAAGAAAAUGGGGGAAAAUGAAAGACCCACCCCAUGAGUCUUAACUCAGAGUUGCAACAGGCUUGAACAAGCCCAGGCACGCCCAGAUACCUAGGGC